GAUGAACGCUAGCUACAGGCUUAACACAUGCAAGUCGAGGGGUAACGACAUCGAAAGCUUGCUUUUGAUGGUCGUCGACCGGCGCACGGGUGAGUAACGCGUAUCCAACCUGCCCACCACUUGGGGAUAACCUUGCGAAAGUAAGACUAAUACCCCAUGAUAUCUCUAGAAGACAUCUGAAAGAGAUUAAAGAUUUAUCGGUGAUGGCUGGGGAUGCGUCUGAUUAGCCUGUUGGCGGGGUAACGGCCCACCAAGGCAACGAGCAGUAGGGGUUCUGAGAGGAAGGUCCCCUACAUUGGAAAUGGGACACGGUCCAAACGACUAAGGGAGGCAGCAGUGAGGAAUAUUGGUAGAUGGACGAGAGUCUGAACCAGCCAAGUAGCGUGCAGGAAGACGGCCCUAUGGGUUGUAAACUGCUUUUAUAAGGGAAUAAAGUGGGUCUCGUGAGACUUUUUGCAUGUACCUUAUGAAUAAGGACCGGCUAAUUCCGUG
rnacentral:rRNA from 1 species